GGCACUAUGGCCGAGUGGUUAAGGCGGCAGAUUCGAAUGUCCGGGAAUUUCCGGCCCCUUCCGAAUAUCUGCUUCCCUCUGGGAGCGCAGGUUCAAGUCCUGCUGGUGUCG